CGGCAGUUCACAUCCAGGGCUUAUCCGGGAAAACAGAUUCCUCUUUUGGGCACAGGGAACAGGUGGGACAUUGUUGUUCUUCGCUUGUGUUGUGAGAUUGUGGGUUAACUCCCGCCAAGNGCGCCACCCCUUUCCUUUAUUUCCCAUCAUUAAAUUGGGCAUUUUAAGGGGGACACCGGGGAAAAACCGGAGGAAGGUGGGGAUGACGUCAAAUCAUCAUGCCCUUUAUGUCUUGGGCUACACACGUGUUACAAUGGUCGGUACAGAGGGAAGCGAAGCGGUGACACGGAGCGAAUCUCAGAAAGCGGUUCUCAGUUCGGAUUGCAGGCUGCAACUCGCCUGCAUGAAGUCGGAAUCGCUAGUAGUC
rnacentral:rRNA from 1 species